rnacentral:lncRNA from 10 species
ACCAGAGGUUUGGCAGGGCACGUUGAAGGGCACGUGCCCAGCUUCCUUUCAAGUCUCUGGCCAAUGCAAUGUGAGCAGAAGUGAAGGGGCAACUUUCAGGUGAUGACUUGGAAAAGAAAGCUUAGUCCUCUGCUUCUCCUGUCACCCGAAAGAGAAACAGAGGCUUGUCUUGUUGAAGCCAGUGUGUUUGGUGUCUUUUUGUAUAGUGGCUUAGACAGUGGCCUAACUAGAAGACCAAGGCUCAAAGGAACACAUUUUGAGCUUCUCCACAGUUUGAGAACCUCUACAUUACCUACACCAAGCCUUCCCCAGCACUCAAUUUAUGGAAGACCAUUUCUCUUCUCAUGACACAUGUCCUCAUGUUGCUUUGGCCUGUUUUAAAGCUUUCUCAACUCCAUCUCAAUAAAGAAAUCUGCAGCUUUGUUGGAUG